rnacentral:rRNA from 1 species
GAUGAACGCUAGCGGCAGGCCUAAUACAUGCAAGUCGAACGGCAGCACGGUGUAGCAAUACAUGGGUGGCGAGUGGCGCACGGGUGCGUAACACGUAUGUAACCAAUCCCAUACAGGGGUCUAUCCCCCGGAAACGGGGCAUAAUCCCGCAUAAGAUAUCCGAUGGCAUCAAAGGAAUAUGAAAGGAGCAAUUCGGUAUAGGAUGGACAUGCGUCUGAUUAGCUAGUUGGUAGGGUAAAGGCCUACCAAGGCAACGAUCAGUAGCUGGUCUGAGAGGAUGAUCAGACACACUGACACUGAGACACGGGCCAGACUCCUACGGGAGGCAGCAGUAGGGAAUAUUGGACAAUGGGCGCAAGCCUGAUCCAGCCAUGCCGCGUGAAGGAAGAAGGCCCUCUGGGUUGUAAACUUCUUUUAACUGGGAAUAAACCAACGUUAUAAGCGUUGCUGAAUGUACCAGAAGAAUAAGCACAGGCUAACUCCGUGCCAGCAGCCGCCGUAACAC